CUCGAUUGAAACGAACGGAGUUGAAUCGUUUCCAAUCAAGGAACUGAUUAUUUUUAUCUUUUUGGAACGUUAGAGGAUUUCGAAAGUUUUUUAGGAUUUUAGAAUGAUUUCGGAAUAAAAUUACCUCGCAAAUGAAAUCAUUUCGUAUUGAUGAUGCACGCAAAAAACAGUAAAACCUUCGUUGCUGCUGAGCUGUAUGAAGUAAAGAAGCUGUUGCGGAUAAUAGUUCUUUUGGUUAAGAUGAUCAAGACAUGAAGAUGCUACUUGUUCUUUCAUACUGAAUAGGUUUCAAUACCAGGUAU